CCGCCCGUAGCUCAGUUGGUAGAGCAGCUCCCUUUUAAGGAGAUGGUCGCAGGUUCGAUUCCUGCCGGGCGGA
rfam:Candidatus Giovannonibacteria bacterium RIFCSPLOWO2_01_FTLL_45_34 rifcsplowo2_01_scaffold_4462, whole genome shotgun sequence.